AUACGGAGGGUGCAAGCGUUACUCGGAAUCACUGGGCGUAAAGCGCGCGCAGGCGGCUUGAUAAGUUGGAUGUGAAAGCCUACGGCUCAACCGUAGAACUGCAUCCAAAACUGUCAAGCUAGAGUCUGGGAGGGGAAGAUGGAAUUAGUUGUGUAGGGGUAAAAUCCGUAGAGAUAACUAGGAAUACCAAAAGCGAAGGCGAUCUUCUGGAACAGUACUGACGCUGAGGCGCGAAAGCGUGGGGAGCAAACAGGAGUAGAAACCCCGGUAGUCC
rnacentral:rRNA from 1 species